rnacentral:rRNA from 1 species
GUUCGAGUCCGCGCAUCGGAAUGAGGACAAUUUACACCCCUUCUCGAGGAUCCAUUGGAGGGCAAGUCUGGUGCCAGCAGCCGUGGUAAUUCCAGCUCCAAUAGCGUAUACUAAAGUUGUUGCAGUUAAAAAGCUCGUAGUCGAAUGUAGAUUGUACAGGUGCGCGGACGUUUAGGUGUAUAACUUAUAUUGUCUGUACGCCACAAUCACCCUUACGUAGUACGGUUGUUUUGGUUUCCAGAACAAAUUUACCGACUACAUACAUUACUGUGAACAAAAUAGAGUGUUCAUGGCAGGCCAAUUAGGCUUGAAUACCUCAGCAUGGAAUAAUAGAAUAGGACUUCUGGUUCUAUUUUGUUGGUUUUUGGAGCCGAAGUAAUGAUUAAUAGGGAUAGUUGGGGGCACUCGUACUCCGUUGUCAGAGGUGAAAUUCUUGGAUUGACGGAAGACGAACAACUGCGAAAGCAUCUGCCAAGGAUGUUUUCAUUGAUCAAGAACGAAAGUUAGGGGAUCGAAGACGAUUAGAUACCGUCGUAGUCCUAACCAUAAACUAUGCCGAC